AUGGACACGGUUUAAAACGUCUCAAGUCCCGAUCGACUCCAGUAGUCCCGAUAUCAGGCAGCAAACGGGAGAACUCUCCCUGCCAUAAUCUUCCAGCACUGACAAUGCCUCGGAAGCACCAGAUGACAGCAGACUCCAUCCGAAAACUUCCAGCCUCCGACCAGCCCCUCCGAUACAACCUCCCGAGCGCCAUCGACCUCGUCCCGGCCGCCGAAACAAGCAAAGCCGAGGUCUCGGGGCUGAUGCACCAUCAAUAACUCACACUGAGACGUAAGGCGAGAUAUCGGCUUUUAUUGACUGAAGAAGGAACCAGCAGUGAGUGACCAUCAUAUUACAUCCUGGAGAAUGAGGCAGAAGAUUAGACCUGAAUCGCCUUUCUACAGGGCCUGUGGGAGGAGCCACAGGAGCAGUCAGAAGGGGGUGUGUCCAGACAGGCACAUAGUUCACCACAGGGGCCUUCUCCUCCGGAGAUUCCGGACCCCGCAGCAGCAGCGAAGCGGGCAUUUCAGAAGUUUCUCCAAAUGUUCCUCCACGCUCUCACAUCUGCCUCCAUCAAAUCAGAAUUGUGCACGGUUCCCCUAUUUAACACGGAACAGAUGUCCAUCUCCAGAGAGAUGCAUCGCGUCCCCAUUUUCUCCUCCUCCUUUGAUGCUUUCCUGGUGGGGGAUGGAGGUGGACAGGGACUGGACUAACAAGGUGAAAAUAAGAUGCUCAGGGAAUUGAAAUCUCUCUCUCUCAAGAUUGGGUGCAACUCAUGUGAUUAUCUUGUUAAUAAUGAAUACAAGAUGCUAUUUACAUUUAAUAUCACUGCAGCUAAACACUUCAUUGCACCAAUACAACGGGAUUAGAAACAGGCUGGACAGGAAGUUUCACGAGUGAAAGCGAAAGCAAGUUGCAAACGUAGUGCACAAAGGAUAGAAACCAGUAACUUUCAGAAGAAAGGUACAUUCUAAUCUGAAGUGUUGUGAAAAUCAGAGGACGUUCGCAGUGAAAAUGCCGAAUCUAAAUGUUCAUUCGAUUGUUACCGCUGGUGCAACCAUUAUUAUCGUUGCUGGUGCUACUGCCGUAGUGAAACCUGCUGUCGCUGUUGCUGCAGUUGCUGCCACUAUUUACGUUGGUCGCAAAGUUGGACAAAUGAUUUCAAAAAUAUGGCGCUGAAUGCAGUUACUGAUGAGUAACAGGGUGCUGGGCUGGUGCAAACAUGAACCAACACUCUAAAUAAAGAAUUUAAUUAAC